GCUGGCGGCGAGUCCUAUACAUGCAAGAAAGAACGAUGAAGUUCCUUCGGGAAUGGAUUAGUGGCGAACUUGUGCAGGAACACGUGAGAAACCUGCCUUUCAUUCUGGGAUAACACCGGGAAACCGGUGCUAAUACCGGAUACUCCGUCUUGGCGGCAUCGCCGAGCCGGGAAAAAAUUUUGAUGAAAGAUGGUCUCGCGGCCUAUCAGCUAGUUGGUGAGGUAAUGGCUCACCAAGGCGACGACGGGUAGCCGGCCUGAGAGGGCGACCGGCCACACUGGGACUGAGACACGGCCCAGACUCCUACGGGAGGCAGCAGUGGG
rnacentral:rRNA from 1 species